rnacentral:sRNA from 1 species
CAUAAACCAACUGCGCAAGGGAUGGCAGCGGCAUCCUUUUUUUGCUUGAACAAGUGGCAAAAAAAGAUACAGCGAACAGCCCGACCCGAC